rnacentral:rRNA from 1 species
UACAGAGACUGCAAGCGUUAUUCGGAUUCACUGGGCGUAAAGGGUGCGCAGGCGGCCAAGUGUGUGAGGCGUGAAAGCCCGGGGCUUAACCCCGGAAUUGCACCUCAAACUACAUGGCUAGAGCAUUGGAGAGGGUAGCAGAAUUCAUGGUGUAGCAGUGAAAUGCGUAGAUAUCAUGAGGAAUACCAGAGGCGAAGGCGGCUACCUGGACAAUUGCUGACGCUCAGGCACGAAAGCGUGGGGAGCAAAGGGG